UACGAAGGGGGCUAGCGUUGCUCGGAAUCACUGGGCGUAAAGGGUGCGUAGGCGGGUCUUUUAAGUCAGGGGUGAAAUCCUGGAGCUCAACUCCAGAACUGCCUUUGAUACUGAAGAUCUUGAGUUCGGGAGAGGUGAGUGGAACUGCGAGUGUAGAGGUGAAAUUCGUAGAUAUUCGCAAGAACACCAGUGGCGAAGGCGGCUCACUGGCCCGGUACUGACGCUGAGGUGCGAAAAGCGUGGGGGAGCAAACAGGG
rnacentral:rRNA from 1 species